rnacentral:rRNA from 1 species
UACAGAGGGUGCGAGCGUUGUUCGGAAUUAUUGGGCGUAAAGGGCGCGUAGGCGGUGCGGUAAGUCACCUGUGAAAUCUCCUGGCUCAACUGGGAGCUUGCAGGCGAAACUGCCGUGCUGGAGUGUGGGAGAGGUGCGUGGAAUUCCUGGUGUAGCGGUGAAAUGCGUAGAUAUCAGGAGGAACACCUGUGGCGAAAGCGGAGCACUGGACCACAACUGACGCUGAGUCGCGAAAGCUAGGGGAGCAAACAGG